rnacentral:rRNA from 1 species
CCUACGGGGGGCUGCAGUGGGGAAUAUUGGACAAUGGGGGGAACCCUGAUCCUGCCAUGCCGCGUGUGUGAAGAAGGCCCUCGGGUUGUAAAGCACUUUCAGUGAGGAAGAACGCCUGGUGGUUAAUACCCAUCAGGAAAGACAUCACUCACAGAAGAAGCACCGGCUAACUCCGUGCCAGCAGCCGCGGUAAUACGGAGGGUGCGAGCGUUAAUCGGAAUUACUGGGCGUAAAGCGCGCGUAGGUGGCUUGAUAAGCCGGUUGUGAAAGCCCUGGGCUCAACCUGGGAACGGCAUCCGGAACUGUCAAGCUAGAGUGCAGGAGAGGAAGGUAGAAUUCCCGGUGUAGCGGUGAAAUGCGUAGAGAUCGGGAGGAAUACCAGUGGCGAAGGCGGCCUUCUGGACUGACACUGACACUGAGGUGCGAAAGCGUGGGUAGCAAACAGGAUUAGAUACCCCGGUAGUC